CUACGGGGGGCAGCAGUGGGGAAUAUUGCACAAUGGGCGCAAGCCUGAUGCAGCGACGCCGCGUGAGCGAUGAAGUAUUUCGGUAUGUAAAGCUCUAUCAGCAGGGAAGAUAAUGACGGUACCUGACUAAGAAGCACCGGCUAAAUACGUGCCAGCAGCCGCGGUAAUACGUAUGGUGCAAGCGUUAUCCGGAUUUACUGGGUGUAAAGGGAGCGUAGGUGGUUUGGCAAGUCAGAUGUGAAAGCCUGGGGCUCAACCCCGGAACUGCAUUUGAAACUGCCAGACUAGAGUGCAGGAGAGGUAAGUGGAAUUCCUAGUGUAGCGGUGAAAUGCGUAGAUAUUAGGAGGAACACCAGUGGCGAAGGCGGCUUACUGGACUGUAACUGACACUGAGGCUCGAAAGCGUGGGGAGCAAACAGGAUUAGAUACCCGAGUAGUC
rnacentral:rRNA from 1 species